rnacentral:snRNA from 1 species
GUCCCCACUUCGGCAACAUAUAUACUAAAAUUGGAAUGUUACAAAGGAGAUUAGCAUGGCUCCUGCACAAGGAUGACAGGCAAAUUUGAGAAGCAUUCUAUAUUUUU